rnacentral:rRNA from 1 species
CGGAGAGUUUGAUCCUGGCUCAGGACGAACGCUGGCGGCGUGGAUAAGGCAUGCAAGUCGAACGCGAACGAAACAGCUAAUUCGUUAGUAGUUUCUAGUAGAGUGGCGAACGGGUGAGUAACGCGUGAACAACAUACCUUUCAGUGGGGAAUAACACAGGGAAACCUGUGCUAAUACCGCAUAUGUGAUUUUGAUGAUUUCAUAUUCAUAAAAGGUGGGGACCUUCGGGCCUGCCGCUGAGAGAUUGGUUCGCGUCCCAUUAGCUAGUUGGUGAGGUAACGGCUCACCAAGGCAUCGAUGGGUAGCCGGCCUGAGAGGGUGACCGGCCACACUGGGAUUGAGAUACGGCCCAGACUCCUUCGGGAGGCAGCAGUCGAGAAUCUUCCACAAUGGACGAAAGUCUGAUGGAGCGACGCCGCGUGAGGGAUAAAGGCUUUCUGAGUCGUAAACCUCUGUCAGGAGGGAAGAACAGCGAGUUUAUAAAUAGUAGAUUCGUGUGACGUUACCUCCAGAGGAAGCUCCGGCUAACUCCGUGCCAGCAGCCGCGGUAAUACGGGGGGAGCAAGCGUUGUCCGGAAUCAUUGGGCGUAAAGGGCGUGCAGGUGGUUUUGUAAGUCGAAUGUGAAAUCUCACGGCUCAACCGUGAAAUUGCGUUCGAAACUACAAGGCUUGAGUUAGGGAGAGGUGUACGGAAUUCCUGGUGUAGCGGUGGAAUGCGUAGAUAUCAGGAAGAACACCGAUGGCGAAGGCAGUACACUGGCCUGUAACUGACACUGAUGCGCGAAAGCGUGGGUAGCAAACAGGAUUAGAUACCCUGGUAGUCCACGCUGUAAACGAUGGGUACUGGGUUUUGGUGGUCUCAACCCCAUCAGAGCCGUAGCUAACGCGUUAAGUACCCCGCCUGGGGAGUACGAUCGCAAGGUUGAAACUCAAAGGAAUUGACGGGUUCCCGCACAAGCGGUGGAGCAUGUGCUUUAAUUCGAGGCAACGCGAAGAACCUUACCUGGGCUUGACAUGGGAGCUUUUCCUUCGGGGAAGGUUAGCCGUGUGAAAUCAUGGUUAGUCCACACAGGUGUUGCAUGGCUGUCGUCAGCUCGUGUCGUGAGAUGUUCGGUUAAGUCCGGCAACGAGCGCAACCCUCGCUGUCAGUUACCAACGGGUAAUGCCGGGGACUCUGACAGGACUGCCGGUGAUAAACCGGAGGAAGGCGGGGAUGACGUCAAGUCAUUAUGACCCUUACGCCCAGGGCUAGACACGUGCUACAAUGGUCGGUACAAUGAGCAGCGAAACUGCGAGGUGGAGCAAAUCUCAAAAAGCCGGCCCUAGUACGGAUUGCAGUCUGCAACUCGACUGCAUGAAGCUGGAAUCGCUAGUAAUCGCGUAUCAGCAUGACGCGGUGAAUACGUUCCCGGGAAUUGUACACACCGCCCGUCAAACCAUGGGAAUCGGUAGCACUCGAAGUCGCUGGCCCAACUUUUUAGAGGGAAGCGCCGAAAGUGAGAUUGGUGACUGGGGUUAAGUCGUAACAAGGUAGCCGUACCGGAAGGUGUGGCUGGAUCACCUCCUUUCUAA